GUGAGUCCAAUCAAAUACCAACACACCAGCGAUGGAAAUAAAAAGGGGGUAGUUCACGGGAUAUUUUGAAUUUAUUUCUAUUGCUGGCGUGUUGAUGUUUCAUUGAAGGGAAUCGCAGCAGAUGGAACUCUCGUCCCAGAAUCGUGAAGGGAGACGUUGAUGCGUGUGGCGUCAGCUCAUCUCAGUUCUCAGCUCAACUAAAUGCUCCACUUCGCAGUUGGUUAUUUCUUGCUCGCCAUUUACAUUUAGAAUACUACGAUAGGGGAAGAGUUCCAAUGUCAGAUUAUCAGUUUCGACAGACAUUCCAACAUUCUCGUUCUUUCAUAUCCUUUACGGCAGGAAGAAGACCCACUCGAUGUAAAGAAAUGCUACCUCGACCUUAAUACUCUUCACGCCAGGGAGGAAUCUGCUAUAAGGUGAUAGCGUUUUGGAGAAUAUGUUUAGUUUUUUUUUUUUACUUUUUUUUUCUAAUCAUGAUUACAACGUUUUCAUGAGAGGUUGAGAGGUGAUCGCAGACAAGCAGAGAUAGAGGCAUAGGCGUGGGCGUUACAACUUUACAAGCGAGGCACAGAACAUCUUCGUUGCCUUGUACAAGACGUUGAAGAUGAGUCUUAACGUAUAUGCAUGAAAUAGACAUUCACUUUACCCACUUAAGCUUAACAUUGCAUCCUUUCUAUCAAACCCAUGCAUUCUGGUUAUGCAAUCUCCCUUUUAUGAUCAGGCUUCCAUUUCACUGGGAAAAACUGUCAUAAUUGUGACAAACGAAGUGUGAGUUAGCCGUCCAUAUCUCCCUGAAAAUGUUAGUGGAGCAACCCAUGUUGCCAAUGUGCGAGCAAAGAAAAUAGUGAGGCUUAUUGACAAUGAACUGACAUCGAAUCUUUUAAUGUGAGUAAACGUUGAUGAGAAAUUUUCCUUACUUUACCAAUUUGUAGCUUGAGUUAGAAAGGAAGUGAUUUCAAUCCCAUGGUCAUGGUCAAUGAUGAUAUCUCUCCACUACAAGUCAUACUAGAUUUCAUAUGAUGUGGUCAUUGUGCCUUGAGGUAGGUUUUCAUAAAACGCAAAUAAAAGGAGGGAAAAACAUAUCUUAUUGCGCACUCAUAUUGUAGGUGCUAGAUGGAGAGGUUGUUAUAGCUUGCAGUUGUUUAGGUUUCCCUAGUGGAAUUAUCAGCUAAAAUGAACAUUUUUAGAUCCAAAUCCAGUUUAAGUGGAUCCAAUUUUGAACUCGAACUUGAUGGAUGAGAUGACCAGGUAAAGUUGAUAGCCUUAGUCCUUGGGCCAAUUAUCCAUGAUAAGUGUAGCCGCCCCCUGAUCCCAACUUUUGCUGAAACAAUAAGUGAACAUAUUGAAUAUGCUAUAGCUACCAAAAUUGUAUGCCGAAAUGAAAAUAAAAAAUGCAGUAUUGGUCUGCUUUUCUCUUU